AGAUUGAACGCUGGCGGCAUGCCUUACACAUGCAAGUCGAGCGGCAGCGCGGGGGCAACCCUGGCGGCGAGCGGCGCACGGGUGAGUAAUGCAUCGGAACGUGUCCUCUUGUGGGGGAUAACCAGUCGAAAGACUGGCUAAUACCGUAUGAGAUCGAGAGAUGAAAGCAGGGGACCCGCAAGGGCCUUGCGCGAGAGGAGCGGCCGAUGCCCGAUUAGCUAGUUGGUGGGGUAAAAAGCCCACCAAGGCGACGAUCGGUAGCUGGUUUGAGAGAACGACCAGCCACACUGGGACUGAGACACGGCCCAGACUCCUACGGGAGGCAGCAGUGGGAAUUUGGACAAUGGGGGCAACCUGAUCCAGCCAUGCCGCGUGUGUGAAGAAGCCUUCGGUGUAAAGCACUUUCGGACCGGAACGAAAUCGACGACGGGUGAAGUAUCCGUGUGGAUGAACGGUACCGAAGAAGAAGCGACCGCUAACACGUGCAGCACGCCGA
rnacentral:rRNA from 1 species